AAGCUUCUUCGUGUGUGAUCAGUCUCAUUUUGUCCCUACUUAUGCAAUACAUUAAAAUUUAUGACUUCAUGAAGAGAGCCAUAUGAAAUAACCAAGAAGGACGAAAUACAUGAAGACCUCAGCUUAAAUGGUCAAUUGCUGAUUUUUCUGUAUAAAAUCAAUAAAUCAUCAGUAAGAGGAACAUGCAUUGUAAGUUUAAGAACAUUUGGGACUAGCAUUGGUUGACAAGUAAUGGUCAAUAAAAAUUUGGAACAGUGCAGCCAGCAUACAUCACCUACGCUAAUAACGCCAAUUCCCUUAUAUUGUUGUUAUCUCGAAGUCCCAAUUCAUUCCUUUUUUUUCAGACUUCCAUACCACACAAUUGAACUUACUUAACUUUUAUUUUGAUAAAUUAUUUGAUUGAUCAACGAAUUAGCGUUGGCAGACCUGGCUAAUCCGUGAAUAUAGGGCUGAUCAGGAAAUUUCAUCAGGCAAACUUCGUGACAAAAUGUUUCUCGUGUAGACGCACCAUACGAUAAUUAUAACUUAAUUAUAAUGUGUGUCAGAACUUCGUUUAAAAAAGUUUACAGUUCAGCGAUCCACCUUAAUCUUCACACAUUUGCUGUCAGUUCAAAUUAGUGUUGUGUUUAGGGAUUCUAUAACUCGCUCCAUUAAUGCUGAUUGUCAUGUCGGAGCGGGAAUAUCCCUUAAUGAACGCUGAUUAGAAUCAGCUGCCGGCUAUUAAGCUCUGAAAAUAACCACUAGAUGUCACUAGAUGACCACAAUCAAUGCAGCCAUCUCAAAAUGAGUGGAAAAUGUAGAACUAGUCCCUGGGAACUAACUAGUUUUUCAUUUGCAUCUUAAAAUGGGGCUUCACAAGCUACUUACCGAUUCCUGUCUGAAUUUGGUGUUUGACCCUCUAAGGACUGCCAUCUAGUGAUUCUUGUCUAUACAUUUUGAUCAUGUUUUGAUGAAGGUAAACUCAGAAAUUGGUGGACCAACGACACAGACAAAGCCUUUGAUGUCAAAAAAGAGUGCCUGGUCGACCAGUACGAAGGCCUUGAAGUCAAACAAGUUGGCAAGAAUGUCAAUGGACGUUUGACUUUGGGAGAGAAUAUUGCCGAUUUUGGUGGCGUGCGCUCUUCUCACAUGGCAUUUGAGAAAUACUUGACCGAAAAUAAUGAAACACAGGUCUUGCCCGGUCUACCUUUCACCCCUUUGCAACUGUAUUGGAUCUUCUUUGGACAGUCUUGGUGCACUGUCGCUCGAGAUGAGAAGAUCAGGGACAAGCUGCUGAAUGACAAACAUUCGCCUCCCCAAUUCCGGAUCAACGGGCCCUUAUCGAACUAUGAAGGCUUUGCCAAGGACUUUGGAUGUAAACCAGGUGAUCAGAUGGUCAAAGAAACCCAAUGCCGAAUCUGGUAACUUGAAAUGAUAAACCUUGGGCAGGAAUCAGUUGAAUAAAUAUGCACCCGACAAUUUGGGCUAUGGCAGUCGA